rnacentral:rRNA from 1 species
UACGUAGGUGGCAAGCGUUGUCCGGAUUUACUGGGCGUAAAGCGCCCGCAGGCGGCUUGGUAAGUUUCAGGUGAAAUCUCCCGGCUCAACCGGGAGGGGUCUUGGAAAACUGCCAGGCUUGAGGCAGGGAGGGGGAUGCGGAAUUCCCGGUGUAGCGGUGAAAUGCGUAGAGAUCGGGAGGAACACCAGCGGCGAAGGCGGCAUCCUGGCCCUGACCUGACGAUCAGGGGCGAAAGAGUGGGGAGCGAACCGG